AAGGGAUUGUGGGCAAGACAAGUCAAGAGGAAGACGUGCGGGUUGAAACCAAGCCUCAACGAGAUCGACGGAUCUACUCUUCUUAUUAGUGAACUCAAACUUCUUUCAUUUACUUUUAGUAGGCCUACCAUCUCCUGUGGGUGGGCUACCCUUCCUGAGGAUUCUGUCAUUCCACAUCUACUGAUUCCUCAAGAUUAAUUUUGAUAGCAGCAAGAGGACAUGGACGAUCAUCCAUGUGGAAAUAUCAUUGACCUCUCCCCUUCACCUAGAAUCCUCCAUGGUCUCCUGCUUCCAACAAUCAUUGUUUGGGCAGGCAUGGACAGGGUCCAUCUAAAUGCAAACACACUUACCUACUCCUAGCUAUAUUUCGCUGGAAUUGCACCAGAAUUCCCACAGAAGCAGAG